ensembl:lncRNA
UGAGUUUGUUAGAAAAACCACUUUCCUUUGCUCCUAGCGCCUUCUCGUUCGCUGUAUAGCGUUUUGAGCGGAUAAAGAGCACAAGUGUGUAAGGGGACACAGAAUGAAUGGGAACUAGUUUUGUUAUUGUACUUUUGAUGAAAAGUCACUUUCUAGACAUAAAAUGUCACUUUUUUCACCUUAUCAUACUUUUUCAUCAACUUUUGCAUUUUAAUGUAAACAAUCAUAUUUCGUAAUAUUUUGGGUCAGAAACAUUUCAUAGUACUAUAUUAUGUCUAACUAUGUGAAAAAAAUCAAAUUGGAGUACGUCGUGCACUUGAUUAUAUGAGUUUGUUAGAAAAACCACUUUCCUUUGCUCCUAGCGCCUUCUCGUUCGCUGUAUAGCGUUUUGAGCGGAUAAAGAGCACAAGUGUGUAAGGAGACACAGAAUGAAUGGGAACUAGUUUUGUAAUUGUACUUUUGAUGAAAAGUCACUUUCUAGACAUAAAAUGUCACUUUUUUCACCUUAUCAUACUUUUUCAUCAACUUUUGCAUUUUAAUGUAAACAAUCAUAUUUCGUAAUAUUUUGGGUCAGAAACAUUUCUUAGUACUAUAUUAUGUCUAACUAUGUGAAAAAAAUCAAAUUGGAGUACGUUGUGCACUUGAUUAUAUGAGUUUGUUAGAAAAACCACUUUCCUUUGCUCCUAGCGCCUUCUCGUUCGCUGUAUAGCGUUUUGAGCGGAUAAAGAGCACAAGUGUGUAAGGGGACACAGAAUGAAUGGGAACUAGUUUUGUUAUUGUACUUUUGAUGAAAAGUCACUUUCUAGACAUAAAAUGUCACUUUUUUCACCUUAUCAUACUUUUUCAUCAACUUUUGCAUUUUAAUGUAAACAAUCAUAUUUCGUAAUAUUUUGGGUCAGAAACAUUUCUUAGUACUAUAUUAUGUCUAACUAUGUGAAAAAAAUCAAAUUGGAGUACGUCGUGCACUUGAUUAUAUGAGUUUGUUAGAAAAACCACUUUCCUUUGCUCCUAGCGCCUUCUCGUUCGCUGUAUAGCGUUUUGAGCGGAUAAAGAGCACAAGUGUGUAAGGGACACAGAAUGAAUGGGAACUAGUUUUGUAAUUGAACUUUUGAUGAAAAGUCACUUUCUAGACAUAAAAUGUCACUUUUUUCACCUUAUCAUAAUUUUUCAUCAACUUUUGCAUUUUAAUGUAAACAAUCAUAUUUCGUAAUAUUUUGGGUCAGAAACAUUUCAUAGUACUAUAUUAUGUCUAACUAUGUGAAAAAAAUCAAAUUGGAGUACGUUGUGCACUUGAUUAUAUGAGUUUGUUAGAAAAACC